GGAAGUAAAAGUCGUAACAAGGUUUCCGUAGGUGAACCUGCGGAAGGAUCAUUACUGAUUUAGCGAACCGAGCGUUAGCGAGGUUUUGCGAUCACUUAUAUUUAAAACCCACUCUUUGAACGUAUAAAAUUUUAUGUAUUAAUGAUAAAAAUAAAAGAUCACUUUCAACAACGGAUCUCUUGGCUCUCGCAUCGAUGAAGAACGUAGCGAAGUGCGAUAAGUAAUGUGAAUUGCAGUAUUCCGUGAAUCAUCGAAUCUUUGAACGCAUAUUGCACUUUCUGGUAUUCCGGAAAGUAUGCCUGUUUGAGGGUCAGUUAAAUAAAAAUCGGUGUUGUUGCCGCUUUUCGUGGUGACGCGUCGGAAUUGAGUUGUCUUACCUUCGGUUAAGUGACUUAAAAUUUUGUAUGAUUUUCGAACGUAUUUAAAUUUAUUUGAACGUUUGAUAUCGAAUGCUUAUUAGGUUCGGUCAUCCUCAUGACUCGCGCCUAUAAUUUUUCAUUAAAUGACCUCAAAUCAGGUAAGAAUACCCGCUGAACUUAAGCAUAUCAAUAAGCGGAGGA
rnacentral:rRNA from 1 species